UACGGGGGGGGCAAGCGUUGUUCGGAAUUACUGGGCGUAAAGGGCGUGUAGGCGGCCAUCUUAGUCAGACGUGAAAUCCCUCGGCUCAACCGGGGAACUGCGUCUGAUACUGGAUGGCUCGAAUCCGGGAGAGGGAUGCGGAAUUCCAGGUGUAGCGGUGAAAUGCGUAGAUAUCUGGAGGAACACCGGUGGCGAAGGCGGCAUCCUGGACCGGUAUUGACGCUUAAGCGCGAAAGCCAGGGGAGCAAACGUG
rnacentral:rRNA from 1 species